rnacentral:tRNA from 1 species
GCCUAGUUAGCCUGGUAGUGCGUCUGCCUUGUAAGCGCUAGGCCGCGGGUUCGAUUCCCGCCCGGGGCG